rnacentral:rRNA from 1 species
GCCAGACUCCUACGGGAGGCAGCAGUGGGGGAUAUUGCACAAUGGGGGGAACCCUGAUGCAGCGACGCCGCGUGGGUGAAGGAGCGUUUCGGCGCGUAAAGCCCUAUCGGCAGGGAAGAAGGAGGACGGUACCUGACUAAGAAGCCCCGGCUAACUACGUGCCAGCAGCCGCGGUAAUACGUAGGGGGCAAGCGUUAUCCGGAUUUACUGGGUGUAAAGGGGGCGCAGACGGCGAUGCAAGCCAGGAGUGAAAGCCCGGGGCCCAACCCCGGGACUGCUCUUGGAACUGCGUGGCUGGAGUGCAGGAGGGGCAGGCGGAAUUCCUGGUGUAGCGGUGAAAUGCGUAGAUAUCAGGAGGAACACCGGUGGCGAAGGCGGCCUGCUGGACUGCAACUGACGUUGAGGCCCGAAAGCGUGGGGAGCAAACAGGAUUAGAUACCCCGGUACC